AUGAGAAAAAGUACUCGUUGCAAAGUAAUACUGUUAGGGCGCAACUGUGUAGUUUAAUGUUCUUACAGUUUUGCUUCUUGUGAACGUUGACAUCAAUUCGAUCGAAAUUUGCACUCUCGGGGCAUAAUAGAACAAUAUAAUUAGAUUUUACUCUUUGUUCGAUUAAAUGAGAAAAAGUACUUGUUGCAAUGUUAUGCUGUUAGGGCGCAACUGAGUAGUCUAAUGUUGUUCCGGUUUUGGUUCUUGUGAACGUUGACAUCGAUUCGUUCGAAAUUUACACUCUCGGGGCAUAAUAGAACAAGAUAAUUAGGUUUUACACUUUGUUCGAUUGAAUGAGAAAAAGUACUCGUUGCAAAGUUAUACUGUUAGGGCGCUACUUAAUAGUCUAAUGUUGUUCCGGUUUUGGUUCUUGUGAAUGCUGACAUCGUUUCGUUCCACUAUUACACUCUCGGGGCAUAAUAGAACAAUAUAAUUAGGUUUUUACUCUUUCUUUGUUUGAAUGAGAAAAAGUACUCGUUGCAAAAUUAUACUAUUUGGGCGCAACUGAGUAGUCUAAUGUUGUUCCGAUUUUGGUUCUUGUGAACGUUGACAUCGAUUCGUUCGAAAUUUACACUUUCGGGGCAAAAUAGAACAAUAUAAUUAGGUUUUACACUUUGUUUGAUUGAAUGAGAAGAAGCGCCCGUUUGCAAAGUUAUAAUUUAGAGGCGCAACACGAGUAGUCUAAUAUUGUUCCGGU
rnacentral:lncRNA from 1 species